rnacentral:sRNA from 1 species
GUGUGUGCAUGUGCAUAUGUGUGUGCGUGUUCGUGUAUCUAUGUGUAUGUUUCUCUGCUUAAAGUCUGUCCUAUCUGGAGAUAAAACGAUGAAUUGAGGCUCAAUAUUUAAAAGCCAUAUGAUAACUUGGCUGUGUAGUGUUUGGAAUCAAACUCCCUUGUAGCUGCUGCUCCUCCUCUGGGCGGUUGUAAAUGAUACACACAUCGAGAUGUGUGAUGGUGAGGCGGGGAGAAUAAUCCUCUCAGCCCAAUUUAGCAGGCAGCUUUGAUCUCACUGAACAAACCUUCACUUCAGCCAGGGACUCUGCCUGCCAUCGACACCAUGAGGGGCUUUGCUUGCGGCCGGGCUGCUUUGUGUGAGGUGGGUGCUUGCUGUUCUCCUGGCUUGUGGUACUUUGGAAUUGGAGUGAGGUUUUUUGGGGUCCGAUUUCCUGAAAUAGAAUGCAGGGCCCGCCUCAGAUAGUCUGUCAGCACAGAGGGAAAGCUGCUCCUGCACUCGUGCCUUAGCUGUGUAGAGGAGACUGCGGUGGAGUUGUGGGAGGACCUUCAUUUCAGAUCUGAUACCAGAGCCUCUAGUGUAUGUUCAGAGAGAAACCGCAAAUUUGACAUGCUGUCUCCACCCCAAACCCCAAGCCUAACUAAGCCCCUUCUAACAAGUCAUUUCCAAAGCACCGUGGAGUGGUUAGUUCUUCCCAUCAACUACCCCAGAGCAAGCUCUUUUGCAAGAGAACAUCAGUGUCUGUUAGUGUCUAGGUCCCCAACUGGAUCUGAUCUGCGUUCCUGUCUUCUUUGUUCUGGUUCAUUUUGGCCAAAUAACACUCUGAGCUGACAACCAGGCAAGCGGAGCCUGUGUCAGGCACAAUCCCCUGAGAUGGGGUGUGAGUAGGAACUCCAGAGUGAAGGGGUUUUAAAAACAUAGCUAAUCAAACUGUCUUCCUGUGAAAAGGAACAAACCCGGCAACCCCUCACUGGGAACGUGCUCCACUUCUCCUGCAUAACAGCAAAAGGAAAGGCUUGUUAGACGCCUAGGCCUGGCUCCAGCAGAGGCACCCGAGGAAUUCACCUAACUUACCAGGCUUACGAAGUCACAAAGUCACAAGAGCGGAAGUUCCUCCUUGAUCUCAGAUAAGUACAAUGAUUGCCAAGGAAAGGAGAUUUUUAUUUUCAGUGUACCCAGCUGCCUGAGUUGUGCUGCAACCCCAGGGAUGAAGCUUCCCUGAGUGGUUACCCAUGUCUGGGUGAGCUUUCAGUGAUGCAGCCGCCCGUGAGUCAUCCCAGGAAAUUUACUGGUCACUAAACUGGACAUGUGUGGAAGGGUUUCUGGGAUCUGUCAUUGGUGCCCUGUUUGGGGUGAGUGGGUGUCUGUUCACACCUCCACAGAAAAGCCACAGGACGUGCUGUCAUCUAGGGGCAGCUGAGACCACUCACUGACUUCUUUCCCCCGUGUACAGAUGACAAGAAUCUUUACCUCCAGUUAGAAUCUGCCUGAGUCUUACUCCCAUCUGAAUGGGAUGAGAUGAUGCCAUUUGAGAGUUGACUGAUGAGACCAAGGGCUUUUCCUGGUUGGCACCACUGCUAGGAGGCAUUGUGUGCAGGAGCCAGCGGUGCUGCUUCUGUCUCGAAUAUACAGGGCGUGUGGUACACAGGGUAAGUGAUUAUCAGUGUAGAAUGUCAACAAUGCUGUAGUCUUUGGUUAUCACAUGUGAUAGAAUUGAUUGUCAACUUGACAGGAUUCGGUGUUACCUAGGAGACAGGCCUCUGAGAGUGCCUGGGAGGGAUUAUCUAAAUUAGAUCCCUAAUUUAAUUGGGGUAGGAAGACCGAUCCUAAAUGUUGGCAGCACUGUCCCAUGAACUGGGGCUCCCUGCUGAGUGAAAAAGAGAACCAGCUGAGGACCACACCUGUCUCUCUGCCUUCUGACUGGGAUACAGUGUGACAGAGGCUCUUGCCUCAGUUUCCCACAGUGAUAGGCUGACCCCUCACACCUUGGACAAAAUAAUCCUUCUUCUGAAAGUUGCUUUUGUUUGGGCAUUUUCUCAGAGCAACAGGAAAAGUAGCUUAAGUGUCACACAGGGUGGAAAACAGGGGUGAGAAGGGCUGGAAUGCAUUGUGUUGGGCACAGAGUCAAACAAUGCUUCUCCCCACCCAAUCCUUACCAGGUAGGUCUCGAGACUCCUAGGAAAAGCGCCAGGGUUGCCAGCCCAUUUGGUGGGGACAUAAUGAUGGAACAUUUUGCUGCGAGAGCAGGCUGGCCUCUGGUUUGCUCAGGCACAGAGAUGAUCAAUCCCACUUGGUAGGGGAGAUGAGGGUCAGGUGGACGUCCAUCCCAUGCCCCAGACACUCUUGCCAACACACAAGCUGUAUAUUCUCACGUGGAGAAUUUCUCCUGUUGUUGUUUUUGUUUUUCAGCUCUGAAGAGAUUGUGAAUUAAUGUAGACAUUCAUUCAAAUCCUAUUUUUGCUAAGGUCUGCCUCAUUAAAAUCCCCCCAGAGGACCACACACAAGGAUCUCUCAUCGUCCUCACUAAGUCCUGCUUGACGACAAAGAAACAGCUUCAGAGUGCGGCAAGAUGGCUGGUCAGGGGGGCACACAGUUUGCCGAGGACAGAGAUGGGCUUUAAAGCCAGGUCUUUUAACAUUAAGUUCAGGUUAAUUUCUACCCUGACUGGCACUAAGCCCCCGGUAAAUAAAGGCUCUUUUUGGAAAUAGGAGGUGUUUGUCAUCGGAGAAAAGGCUGCUGGCAGCCCAGGUGUGUUGUGCAAGGCUCGCCAGUGCACUAAUCCGCUAUACAGCAUGGUCCUAAGAAUAAGUAGGAAAGCCAGAAAGGUUCCGGGAAUGGGGCCUGGAGAAGGCGGCUGGAAGGCUGGGAAAUGUUAUGGAAUAGAAGUCACUUGAGCUCGGCUUAGUUGUAGGCAGAACAAAAGGUCAGUGCCUCAAAUCAAACAAUAGCUUUCGAGAGAGACUCGCUGAAAGCUACUGCUGGCUCCAAAUACUAAAGAAAAACAACAGGAACAGCAACAAAAACAAAAACAAAAACAAAAGCCAAGGGACCCAGAUCCAACACCAAGUAGUUCCAGGCAACAGUUUCAAUAGUUGAUAAGUAGUGUCACAACUGUCGUAGUUUUCCCCUCCUCCCAAAGGAGCACCUUUGACAUUUUACUAUAUUUCAAAUAAAAUGUAUCUUUUCCUAUGAUGCAUAGCUAUCUCAUUUAACAACAUUCUCCAAGGUGAAAUUAUAUUUUAUAAUGCAAGCUUCUAACUGGGGCAGGAGCUGUGUGGGAUGUUUGGGAAGGGGAGCUUAUGAGGAUCUUGAUAUCUCUUUUUGUAAGCCCACUGGUAACGGCUGCUCCGGGAGGUUUGACUACACUUACCCCACACCUCUGCCAGGACAGGUGCUGGGCUGUAGGAAAGCACAGAGGGGCUGCUCUGGGGUGGGAAAGCACAGUGUGAGAUGUGGAAGGGCCAGAGCUGGCUGGGGA